ACGUUGACGACUUCACCCCUGGGGAUGUCUUCAGUGCUUACUGGGAGCGGCGAUGAGAAGACCAAAGUCGGCUCUACGACACCGUGCUUCUGCAUAUGACAGUCCAAAGAAGAAAUGGACCAAUGUUUCAAUGCAUACGGAACAAAAAAAA
rnacentral:lncRNA from 1 species